AGAGUUUGAUCCUGGCUCAGAACGAACGCCGGCGGCAGGCCUAACACAUGCAAGUCGAGCGCACUUAUUUCCUUCGGGUUAUAGGCGAGCGGCGGACGGGUUAGUAACGCGUGGGAACGUACCCUUUACUACGGAAUAGCCUUUGGAAACGAAGAGUAAUACCGUAUACGCCCUUUGGGGGAAAGAUUUAUCGGUAAAGGAUCGGCCCGCGUUAGAUUAGAUAGUUGGUGGGGUAAUGGCCUACCAAGUCUACGAUCUAUAGCUGGUUUGAGAGGAUGAUCAGCAACACUGGGACUGAGACACGGCCCAGACUCCUACGGGAGGCAGCAGUGGGGAAUCUUAGACAAUGGGCGAAAGCCUGAUCUAGCCAUGCCGCGUGAGUGAAGAAGGCCCUAGGGUCGUAAAACUCUUUCGCCAGAGAUGAUAAUGACAGUAUCUGGUAAAGAAACCCCGCUAACU
rnacentral:rRNA from 1 species